AACGCAAGUUGCGCCCGAAGCCAUUAUGCCGAGGGCACGUCUGCCUGGGCGUCACGCACAUCGUCGCCCUCCGCCUCGGCCCGUAAAGGGAUCGCGGGUGUUGGGUCGGAUAUUGGCCCCCCGUGCGCUUCGGCGCGCGGUCGGCCCAAAUGUGAUUCGGCAUCGACGCGUGCCGCGACGAUUGGUGGUUGAAGAACUCAACUCGCGCGUUGUCGCGGCGUCGUUCGGCUCGAACGUGUUGACCCCGACGGUGCAUCGCACCUCGACAGCGACCCCAGGUCAGGCGGGAUUACCCGCUGAGUUUAA
rnacentral:misc_RNA from 1 species